rnacentral:rRNA from 1 species
UCUGGUGAUGAUGGCGUAGAGGAAACACUCCUUCCCAUUCCGAACAGGAAAGUUAAGCUCUACAGCGUCAAUGGUACUGCA